UUUUCUCUUUUGUCAUGGAUAGAGUUUGGAAGAAGAUCAAAGGAUGGAAGGAGAGAUUUCUUUCUAGAGCAGGCAAAGAAACUUUGAUCAAGGCGGUGGCACAGGCAAUCCCUACGUAUAUCAUGAGUUGCUAUAAACUCCCUGAAGGUUGUUGCAAGGAUAUUGAAUCUAUGUUGGCUAAGUUCUGGUGGGGCUCUAAAGAAGGUGAGAGGAAAAUUCAUUGGAUGAGUUGGGAGAGGAUGUCAAAAUCCAAAAACAGUGGUGGUAUGGGAUUUCGAGGGAUCAGCUUAUCAUGUAUUGGGGGGUUAGAAGUCCUUGAAGAAACCAGAUCCCUCUACGAGCUCUCAUAGCAAGUUGUGGAAAGAAAUCUGGCACACACCAAUUCAGAACCGAGUCAAGAACUUCAUCUGGAGACUUGCAAAAAACAUCCUGCCAACAAAGAGUAAUUUAUUAAAGAAGGGUGUUCAAUUGGAUCCGGUUUGCCCUCUUUGUAGUUCCUGCGCAGAGGACAACGCUCAUCUCUUUAUGUAUUGUGAUUUUGCAAAGAUGGUAUGGUUUUCUUCCCCUCUUGGAAUUCAUGUACCUUUAGAACUGGAUGUGAAUGAUUGGCUGUUACACUGGUUGUCAUGUAAAAAUCAUUUUGCAAUUCAGGUGUUUUGUACUACUUUGUGGAAAAUAUGGUAUGCUAGAAACCAAAGUCUGUUUAAAAAUCA